GACGAACGCGGCGGCGUGCCUAAUACAUGCAAGUAGAACGCUGAAGGAGGAGCUUGCUCUUCUGGAUGAGUUGCGAACGGGUGAGUAACGCGUAGGUAACCUGCCUGGUAGCGGGGGAUAACUAUUGGAAACGAUAGCUAAUACCGCAUAACAUUGACUAUUGCAUGAUAGUCAAUUGAAAGGUGCAAAUGCACCACUACCAGAUGGACCUGCGUUGUAUUAGCUAGUUGGUGGGGUAACGGCUCACCAAGGCGACGAUACAUAGCCGACCUGAGAGGGUGAUCGGCCACACUGGGACUGAGACACGGCCCAGACUCCUACGGGAGGCAGCAGUAGGGAAUCUUCGGCAAUGGACGGAAGUCUGACCGAGCAACGCCGCGUGAGUGAAGAAGGUUUUCGGAUCGUAAAGCUCUGUUGUAAGAGAAGAACGAGUGUGAGAGUGGAAAGUUCACACUGUGACGGUAUCUACCAGAAA
rnacentral:rRNA from 1 species